CAGUCUCCGCGGUAAUACAGAGGGUGCGAGCGUUAAUCGGAUUUACUGGGCGUAAAGCGUGCGUAGGCGGCUUCUUAAGUCGGAUGUGAAAUCCCUGAGCUUAACUUAGGAAUUGCAUUCGAUACUGGGAAGCUAGAGUAUGGGAGAGGAUGGUAGAAUUCCAGGUGUAGCGGUGAAAUGCGUAGAGAUCUGGAGGAAUACCGAUGGCGAAGGCAGCCAUCUGGCCUAAUACUGACGCUGAGGUACGAAAGCAUGGGGAGCAAACAGGAUUAGAUACCCCAGUAGUCCCUGUCUCUUAUAC
rnacentral:rRNA from 1 species